AAUUUUGGACAAUGGGGGCAACCCUGAUCCAGCCAUCCCGCGUGUGCGAUGAAGGCCUUCGGGUUGUAAAGCUCUUUCAGUGGGGAAGAUAAGGACGGUACCCACAGAAGAAGCCCCGGCUAACUUCGUGCCAGCAGCCGCGGUAAUACGAAGGGGGCUAGCGUUGUUCGGAUUUACUGGGCGUAAAGCGCACGUAGGCGGAUUGGUCAGUUAGGGGUGAAAUCCCGGAGCUCAACUCCGGAACUGCCUUUAAUACUGCCAGUCUAGAGACCGAGAGAGGUGAGUGGAACUCCUAGUGUAGAGGUGGAAUUCGUAGAUAUUAGGAAGAACACCAGUGGCGAAGGCGGCUCACUGGCUCGGUACUGACGCUGAGGUGCGAAAGCGUGGGGAGCAAAC
rnacentral:rRNA from 1 species